UGAGGAAUAUUGGUCAAUGGACGCAAGUCUGAACCAGCCAUGCCGCGUGAAGGAUGAAGGCCUUCUGGGUUGUAAACUUCUUUUAUUGGGGAAGAAAACUACGGUUUCUACUGUAGCCGACGGUACCCAAGGAAUAAGCACCGGCUAACUCCGUGCCAGCAGCCGCGGUAAUACGGAGGGUGCAAGCGUUAUCCGGAUUCACUGGGUUUAAAGGGUGUGUAGGCGGGCUGUUAAGUCAGUGGUGAAAUCUCCGGGCUCAACCCGGAAACUGCCGUUGAUACUAAUGGUCUUGAAUAUUGUUGAGGUAGGCGGAAUAAGUCAUGUAGCGGUGAAAUGCAUAGAUAUGACUUAGAACACCGAUUGCGAAGGCAGCUUACUAAACAAUUAUUGACGCUGAGGCACGAAAGCGUGGGGAUCAAACAGG
rnacentral:rRNA from 1 species